ensembl:piRNA 21ur-11981 ncRNA
UUGGUUCGCUUGGAAAGUAAC